rnacentral:rRNA from 3 species
ACCCGGAGAACUGAAACAUCUUAGUACCCGGAGGAAGAGAAAGAAAAUUCGAUUCCCUUAGUAGCGGCGAGCGAAACGGGAAGAGCCCAAACCAAAAAGCUUGCUUGUUGGGGUUGUAGGACACUCUAUACGGAGUUACAAAGGACGACAUUAGACGAAUCAUCUGGAAAGAUGAAUCAAAGAAGGUAAUAAUCCUGUAGUCGAAAAUGUUGUCUCUCUUGAGUGGAUCCUGAGUACGACGGAGCACGUGAAAUUCCGUCGGAAUCUGGGAGGACCAUCUCCUAAGGCUAAAUACUCUCUAGUGACCGAUAGUGAACCAGUACCGUGAGGGAAAGGUGAAAAGCACCCCGGAAGGGGAGUGAAAUAGAACCUGAAACCGUGUGCUUACAAGUAGUCAGAGCCCGUUAAUGGGUGAUGGCGUGCCUUUUGUAGAAUGAACCGGCGAGUUACGAUUUGAUGCAAGGUUAAGCAGUAAAUGUGGAGCCGUAGCGAAAGCGAGUCUGAAUAGGGCGUUUAGUAUUUGGUCGUAGACCCGAAACCAGGUGAUCUACCCUUGGUCAGGUUGAAGUUCAGGUAACACUGAAUGGAGGACCGAACCGACUUACGUUGAAAAGUGAGCGGAUGAACUGAGGGUAGCGGAGAAAUUCCAAUCGAACCUGGAGAUAGCUGGUUCUCUCCGAAAUAGCUUUAGGGCUAGCCUCAAGUGAUGAUUAUUGGAGGUAGAGCACUGUUUGGACGAGGGGCCCCUCUCGGGUUACCGAAUUCAGACAAACUCCGAAUGCCAAUUAAUUUAACUUGGGAGUCAGAACAUGGGUGAUAAGGUCCGUGUUCGAAAGGGAAACAGCCCAGACCACCAGCUAAGGUCCCAAAAUAUAUGUUAAGUGGAAAAGGAUGUGGCGUUGCCCAGACAACUAGGAUGUUGGCUUAGAAGCAGCCAUCAUUUAAAGAGUGCGUAAUAGCUCACUAGUCGAGUGACACUGCGCCGAAAAUGUACCGGGGCUAAACAUAUUACCGAAGCUGUGGAUUGUCCUUUGGACAAUGGUAGGAGAGCGUUCUAAGGGCGUUGAAGCAUGAUCGUAAGGACAUGUGGAGCGCUUAGAAGUGAGAAUGCCGGUGUGAGUAGCGAAAGACGGGUGAGAAUCCCGUCCACCGAUUGACUAAGGUUUCCAGAGGAAGGCUCGUCCGCUCUGGGUUAGUCGGGUCCUAAGCUGAGGCCGACAGGCGUAGGCGAUGGAUAACAGGUUGAUAUUCCUGUACCACCUAUAAUCGUUUUAAUCGAUGGGGGGACGCAGUAGGAUAGGCGAAGCGUGCGAUUGGAUUGCACGUCUAAGCAGUAAGGCUGAGUAUUAGGCAAAUCCGGUACUCGUUAAGGCUGAGCUGUGAUGGGGAGAAGACAUUGAGUCUUCGAGUCGUUGAUUUCACACUGCCGAGAAAAGCCUCUAGAUAGAAAAUAGGUGCCCGUACCGCAAACCGACACAGGUAGUCAAGAUGAGAAUUCUAAGGUGAGCGAGCGAACUCUCGUUAAGGAACUCGGCAAAAUGACCCCGUAACUUCGGGAGAAGGGGUGCUCUUUAGGGUUAACGCCCAGAAGAGCCGCAGUGAAUAGGCCCAAGCGACUGUUUAUCAAAAACACAGGUCUCUGCUAAACCGUAAGGUGAUGUAUAGGGGCUGACGCCUGCCCGGUGCUGGAAGGUUAAGAGGAGUGGUUAGCUUCUGCGAAGCUACGAAUCGAAGCCCCAGUAAACGGCGGCCGUAACUAUAACGGUCCUAAGGUAGCGAAAUUCCUUGUCGGGUAAGUUCCGACCCGCACGAAAGGCGUAACGAUUUGGGCACUGUCUCAACGAGAGACUCGGUGAAAUCAUAGUACCUGUGAAGAUGCAGGUUACCCGCGACAGGACGGAAAGACCCCGUGGAGCUUUACUGUAGCCUGAUAUUGAAAUUCGGCACAGCUUGUACAGGAUAGGUAGGAGCCUUUGAAACGUGAGCGCUAGCUUACGUGGAGGCGCUGGUGGGAUACUACCCUAGCUGUGUUGGCUUUCUAACCCGCACCACUUAUCGUGGUGGGAGACAGUGUCAAGCGGGCAGUUUGACUGGGGCGGUCGCCUCCUAAAAGGUAACGGAGGCGCUCAAAGGUUCCCUCAGAAUGGUUGGAAAUCAUUCAUAGAGUGUAAAGGCAUAAGGGAGCUUGACUGCGAGACCUACAAGUCGAGCAGGGUCGAAAGACGGACUUAGUGAUCCGGUGGUUCCGCAUGGAAGGGCCAUCGCUCAACGGAUAAAAGCUACCCCGGGGAUAACAGGCUUAUCUCCCCCAAGAGUUCACAUCGACGGGGAGGUUUGGCACCUCGAUGUCGGCUCAUCGCAUCCUGGGGCUGUAGUCGGUCCCAAGGGUUGGGCUGUUCGCCCAUUAAAGCGGUACGCGAGCUGGGUUCAGAACGUCGUGAGACAGUUCGGUCCCUAUCCGUCGUGGGCGUAGGAAAUUUGAGAGGAGCUGUCCUUAGUACGAGAGGACCGGGAUGGACAUACCUCUGGUGUACCAGUUGUCGUGCCAACGGCAUAGCUGGGUAGCUAUGUGUGGACGGGAUAAGUGCUGAAAGCAUCUAAGCAUGAAGCCCCCCUCAAGAUGAGAUUUCCCAACUUCGGUUAUAAGAUCCCUCAAAGAUGAUGAGGUUAAUAGGUUCGAGGUGGAAGCAUGGUGACAUGUGGAGCUGACGAAUACUAAUCGAUCGAAGACUUAAUCAA